rnacentral:lncRNA from 1 species
CAUAUGUACAACACCAUUUGUCAUAUCAUGAAAUGAGUGCUAAGAGGUGUAGGACUGGCAAGUUUGGUGAGCCAGUAAUAGGGAUAGAUGGUAAGUUUGAAUGCCCUAUUUGUCGUAAGACCUUUGAAGAGAAACCACAGUACUUUGGCCAUGUCGGAUCUCAUGCAAGGUACGAAGGGUUGACACCUGAAGCAUUUCUGGAUAAGGCCACUUCCAGAAGGGCAACUAAUGAUUCCUCGGCUUUGACCUUUGGUGACCAGACUUCAUAUGCACAACACCAUUUGUCAUAUCAUGAAAUGAGUGCUAAGAGGUGCAGGACUGGCAAAUUUGGUGAGCCAGUAGUACGGAUAGAUGGUAAGUUUGAAUGCCCUAUUUGUCGUAAGACCUUUGAAGAGAAACCACAGUACUUUGGCCAUGUCGGAUCUCAUGCAAGGUACGAAGGGUUGACUCCUGAAGCAUUUCUGGAUAAGGCCACUUCCAGAAGGGCAACUAAUGAUUCCUCGGC